UACGAAGGGGGCUAGCGUUGUUCGGAAUCACUGGGCGUAAAGCGUAUGUAGGCGGAUUGUUAAGUCAGGGGUGAAAUCCCGAGGCUCAACCUCGGAACUGCCUUUGAUACUGGCUAUCUUGAGUCCGGGAGAGGUGAGUGGAACUCCUAGUGUAGAGGUGAAAUUCGUAGAUAUUAGGAAGAACACCAGUGGCGAAGGCGGCUCACUGGCCCGGAACUGACGCUGAAAUACGAGAGCGUGGGGAGCAAACAGG
rnacentral:rRNA from 1 species